rnacentral:lncRNA from 1 species
UUGUAGGCGGAGAUGAGGUGGAGGGUCCUUGGCGAUAGGCAGAGGUGGCGAAGGGAGGAGGAUUAGGAGGAUGAAAGAGAGGGAGGAGACUCGGGAGAUAGGGAUGGCAAUGGGGCGGGGCGGGGUUGGAGGUUGGUACUACCAUCCCCAAUCCCCGCCUCGAUCCCAGGCGGGGAAUGUUUUUGUACCCCUGUCCCCGCCUUCGGCGGGGACCGGGGAUCCCCACCCCGAAUCUCGCAAAAUCAACCACAAAAUCAACCCUAAAUCUACCACAAAAUCAACAACUUUCAAAUAAAAAUAAAAUAAAAAUAAAAAAUGUCAAAAUCAACAAAGCCCAAAAACACCUAGAUGAGAUCUGGCAACCAAUGUUCGCGUUGAUCGGCAAAGGCUAGCGACUGCAGCGGGAGCAAUGACGGGUGAGUCAGCGACGGUUGAGAUCUGGUAGUGGAUCUCCCUCUCGGCCUCUCCCCUUCCCCUCUCUGUUCUUGCGUGAGAUCUGGUGGACCGGUGGUGGGUCUCCCUCUCCCCUUCCCCUUCCCCUCUCUGGUCUCUAGUCUCCCUCUGUUCGUCGUCGGCCGUGGAGAGAAGAAA